UUCACGCAUGCCUUCACUGUGUAAAUUCACUAGAGGGACUAAAAAAUCAAUUGAUGAGAGGAAAAAUGAAAGUGAAAUAACAAUGGCAAUAUCUUACUAGGUGGGACAACUCCUGCCCAACAAAAAAGUAUAUAAAAUAAGGUACGUUCCAUCGAAGAAAUUGGACCGCCCAGAACCAGAAGCGGAAAUUGCUUGUGAAGCCGUGCUUCUAAAACGUGGCAGCUAAUCUUUUAGCCACAUCCACAUAUGUAGAGUUCUGUGGUGGCUAGCUGAGGCUUCUCCUUCCUUUUCUUCUCUCUUCUCGAUGCUACCUUUUCCGUUUCAGCUAUGUUUGCUGGAAGCUACUCAAUUUGAUAGAUUUGGAAAUUGACCAUCUCUCGAUUGAUAGGAGCUUGUUGCGUUUUCUCUAGAGCAAGUCAGUUUAUGGAUAUUUAAAUAUGGUGUUUCGGAGAAUCUAAGGUCAGUAGCUGAUGCCCAUUUUCUUGUCUCUGCAAUCCCUUACACUGUUGCACAUGUUAUUAUUUGCUUGAAAUUAAGCUUUUUAUUUAUAAAGCAUAAAGGUAGACAAGUAAUAAUAAUAAAUGCAUAUUUUAAUUAUGAUGAAAUAAAGAUCUCUCAAUGUGCUGAAAUGCCAAAAUGGGGACAUAAGAUUAAUAAUAAAAAGAAGAAGAAAAGAAAAGAAAAAAAAAGAGGAAGAAGAAAUGUGAUAGCAAGCAUGGGUUGGCAUUUGGCAAUAAGCUAGCCCAUAAUGCAGAGAACCAAAUCCUGCAGAGUUUUAAUUUUUAUUUGAAUUAAAAUGGGCAAGCAAAGGAAAGCAAAUCAAAUCACAAACACCCACCCCAAAAAAUAAUGGUGUCAGGUCUUUGUGAGACCAAAACAAUGUGUGUUAUCCCCCUAGCCAUGUGUGUGUCUUUAACACUUAAGGUGUGUGUUAAUACCCCAUUAGCUGUGGCCCUACGAGACCUUAAGAUAGUCCCAAUCACAAGUCUCUUCUAUGGCUCCCUUGUUAAAAGGGAAUGGUUAAGCAUCUUUUUUAUAAUCCUUGGCGUAAUGUUUUGGAAGGCAGGCAGCUUGGCACUGAUUGACAUGGGCAUAUUGUUUGUUUUAUAAUAUUUCUACAUGUUAGAAUGCUUGAAAACAGUGAAGUCUCUGUGGGUGAGGGGUGGUGGGGAUCCACAUGCUCAUGUGUUGUAAGAGAGGACCACGCCUUAACGCUAGGUUUUUAUAUUUCAUCCAAUUAAAUCUCAGAUGUAGAUUUUGCAUCAUUUCUUUAAUAAUUUUUAGUGAUUUUCUUUUGGAUUAUCAACUAAUUAACAUAUAUAAAUAUUUUUUUAAUUGUAUUUCAAUUCUUGAAAAGACUAAUGCUUUGAAAAUUCUUAAAUGGGUUCGUGAGUUUUGAAUCAUUGUCUCCAAAUAUAUGCGCAUAAACUUGUAUGAGUUGAAUCUCGGCAAAUACGAUCUGGCCUCUUUGACAGGUCUACUUAUUUGAGGCAAAACUCUUUAUAAGAAAAAAUAAAAAUAAAUUAAAAGAAGAAACUAGCUUUACAAAUGAUUUUUUUGAAAAAAAAGAAACAGAGAAAACUUUCUAAAAGUAGAUAAUGUCCUUGUUUGUGUACUAUACUUUUUAUUAUAAAUUUUUUAAAGAAAUACAAAUAGUUUUGUUGUUUGGGGUCAUCAUUUCCAAGAACAUAGGUGUACUUUUUCUGCAUUAAUCUAUGAUAAUUGCAAUUAUAAGAUGGUAUUUGUGGUUGUGGAGGACAUGUAAGUAAUGCAUGGACUUCGCCACAAUAAGGGACAAACAAGCGUGAGCACCAAACUAAGAAACAAAAACAGCUUAAAUUAAACUUUAAUUACCUCAUUAAUCCAUUUUUAUAUUACUAAUCAAACUUUUUCUUUUGUGCUAUUUAAUUUUGUAAGUUGGCAUCUUCUAGCUAGGUUGUGCUUUUUCUUAUAGACUAUCAUGGAAUCUUCUUGGAUGAAAAAAAAAAAAAAGUCAUGUCAAUUUUUUAAAAGAAAAAAGCAGGUUAGUACUAUAUUUCCAAGUUUCCACUAUACUAAUAAUAAAGAUAGUACCUAGCAGCAGCUACCAUGUGUAAUAAUUUAAGAAAAAAAACAAAUGAAUUGCAAUUUUAGCUAUUGGAUUAAUUCAAAGAUAUGAACUCAGAAAGACUGGCUAGAUAAGAAUUUACAGGUGAGAGUGGGGCUGCAUCUUCCUUCUAAGUCUAAAAUGUUGAUGAGAAAUUUGAAAGAAGAUUAACAGAAGAUUGAUGGAAAGGAAAGAAAAAAAACUGUAAGCAGAAGAAAAAGAGGAGGGGGGUGGGUCGAGGAUGGCAAAGAAACCAACAACUUUCAAUCAAAUCCAUGUUUCUAAAGUACUAAACAUUGAACAAAAAAUUUGCCAUGAAGAUCACCAAACUUCCAGUAGGGAAACAACUCAUUGAAGCCCCCACUCUCCUAAAUGUCUUCUCUCUAUGCAUAGAUCAUUUCAACGUUUUUAUCAUUUCAAUUUGUGUGUCUUACCAGCACAACAUGUGCCUGCCCAUACGUAUUAUCAUCCUCCCGAGGCAAGAUUUAAUUUUAUGUGCUUUUCUUC